AACGAACGCUGGCGGCAGGCUUAACACAUGCAAGUCGAGCGCCCCGCCAGGGGAGCGGCAGACGGGUGAGUACCGCGUGGGAACGUACCUUUUGGUUCGGAACAACUCCGGGAAACUGGAGCUAAUACCGGAUAAGCCCUAACGGGGAAAGAUUUAUCGCCGAAAGAUCGGCCCGCGUCUGAUUAGCUAGUUGGUGAGGUAACGGCUCACCAAGGCGACGAUCAGUAGCUGGUCUGAGAGGAUGAUCAGCCACACUGGGACUGAGACACGGCCCAGACUCCUACGGGAGGCAGCAGUGGGGAAUAUUGGACAAUGGGCGCAAGCCUGAUCCAGCCAUGCCGCGUGAGUGAUGAAGGCCUUAGGGUUGUAAAGCUCUUUUGUCCGGGAAGAUAAUGACUGUACCGGAAGAAUAAGCCCCGGCUAACUUCGUG
rnacentral:rRNA from 1 species